AUUGAACGCUGGCGGCAGGCUUAACACAUGCAAGUCGAACGAGUGGCGGACGGGUGCGUAAUGUCUGGGAAACUGCCUGAUGGAGGGGGAUAACUACUGGAAACGGUAGCUAAUACCGCAUACCAUCGGAUGUGCCCAGAGGGGAGUAGCUAGUAGGUGGGGUAAAGGCUCACCUAGGCGACGAUCCCUAGCUGGUCGGAGAGGAUGACAAGCCACACUGGAACUGAGACACGGUCCAGACUCCGACGGGAGGCAGCAGUGGGGAAUAUUGCACAAUGGGCGCAAGCCUGAUGCAGCAAUGCCGAGUGUGUGAAGAAGGCCUUCGGGUUGUAAAGUACUUUCAGCAGGGAGGCGUUACCCGCAGAAGAAGCACCGGCUAACUCCGUGCCAGCAGCCGCGGUAAUAC
rnacentral:rRNA from 1 species